rnacentral:rRNA from 1 species
GAUGAACGCUAGCGGGAGGCUUAACACAUGCAAGUCGAGGGGUAAAUGGCAGCAAUGCUAUGAGACCGGCGAACGGGUGCGUAACGCGUAUGCAACUUACCUUAUGCAGGGGGAUAGCCCGUGGAAACGCGGAUUAAUAUCCCAUAGAUCAGUGGUAUCGCAUGGUACAGCUGGUAAAGCUCAGGUGGCAUAAGAUGGGCAUGCGUCUGAUUAGCUGGUUGGUAGGGUAACGGCCUACCAAGGCGACGAUCAGUAGGGGUUCUGAGAGGACUUAACCCCCACACUGGUACUGAGACACGGACCAGACUCC